rnacentral:rRNA from 1 species
ACGAACGCUGGCGGCACGCUUAACACAUGCAAGUCGAACGAGAGAAGAGAAGCUUGCUUUUCUGAUCUAGUGGCGGACGGGUGAGUAACACGUGAGCAAUCUGCCUUUCAGAGGGGGAUACCGAUUGGAAACGAUCGUUAAUACCGCAUAAUAUAAUUGAACCGCAUGAUUUGAUUAUCAAAGAUUUAUCGCUGAAAGAUGAGCUCGCGUCUGAUUAGCUAGUUGGUAAGGUAACGGCUUACCAAGGCGACGAUCAGUAGCCGGACUGAGAGGUUGAUCGGCCACAUUGGGACUGAGACACGGCCCAGACUCCUACGGGAGGCAGCAGUGGGGAAUAUUGCACAAUGGAGGAAACUCUGAUGCAGCGAUGCCGCGUGAGGGAAGAAGGUUUUAGGAUUGUAAACCUCUGUCUUCAGGGACGAAAAAUGACGGUACCUGAGGAGGAAGCUCCGGCUAACUACGUGCCAGCAGCCGCGGUAAUACGUAGGGAGCGAGCGUUGUCCGGAAUUACUGGGUGUAAAGGGAGCGUAGGCGGGAUCGCAAGUCAGAUGUGAAAACUAUGGGCUUAACCCAUAAACUGCAUUUGAAACUGUGGUUCUUGAGUGAAGUAGAGGUAAGCGGAAUUCCUAGUGUAGCGGUGAAAUGCGUAGAUAUUAGGAGGAACAUCAGUGGCGAAGGCGGCUUACUGGGCUUUAACUGACGCUGAGGCUCGAAAGCGUGGGGAGCAAACAGGAUUAGAUACCCUGGUAGUCCACGCAGUAAACGAUGAUUACUAGGUGUGGGGGGACUGACCCCUUCCGUGCCGCAGCAAACGCAAUAAGUAAUCCACCUGGGGAGUACGACCGCAAGGUUGAAACUCAAAGGAAUUGACGGGGGCCCGCACAAGCGGUGGAGCAUGUGGUUUAAUUCGAAGCAACGCGAAGAACCUUACCAGGUCUUGACAUCGUAUGCAUAGCUCAGAGAUGAGUGAAAUCUCUUCGGAGACAUAUAGACAGGUGGUGCAUGGUUGUCGUCAGCUCGUGUCGUGAGAUGUUGGGUUAAGUCCCGCAACGAGCGCAACCCUUACUGUUAGUUGCUACGCAAGAGCACUCUAGCAGGACUGCCGUUGACAAAACGGAGGAAGGUGGGGAUGACGUCAAAUCAUCAUGCCCCUUAUGACCUGGGCCUCACACGUACUACAAUGGCUGUCAACAGAGGGAAGCAAAGCCGCGAGGUGGAGCAAACCCCUAAAAGCAGUCUUAGUUCGGAUUGUAGGCUGCAACCCGCCUACAUGAAGUCGGAAUUGCUAGUAAUCGCAGAUCAGCAUGCUGCGGUGAAUACGUUCCCGGGCCUUGUACACACCGCCCGUCACGCCAUGGGAGUCGGUAACACCCGAAGCCUGUAGUCUAACCGCAAGGAGGACGCAGUCGAAGGUGGGAUUGAUGACUGGGGUG